rnacentral:lncRNA from 1 species
CCAGAAGCUCUUCCUAACUCCAGCUCCUUGAAGUCCGGAGGCUUCCUAAGCAAGAUGUGGCAGCUGUAUAUUCAAUAGCUCUCAGUGGGUCUCUCCUCAUGAACUUCGUGCAGGACCAAAGAAGACUCUGUAGCAGGAUAGUCAUAAGAAAAGACUGGUGGGACGUCAACGAGAUCUCAGUGCUUUGGGAGACCAGGUGGCACGUGAGGUGAGAAGAUCUUAGGUGACAAAGGAUAUGAGUGAGACACCACUAAGCUGAACGAGCUACUGCAUGGAAGAUCUGUAAUUGAUUUACAAGACRUAUGAUGUCCCUUACUCGAAUGACUUCUUUUAUUUUAAAUCCCCAGACUUUCUUGCUUUUAGCAAACACACAGGAAAUGAUGAACCCUGUU